GUUCCUGUAGCGCAAGGGGUAUUGCGUUGGACUUCUAAUCCAAAGGUCGUGGGUUCGAAUUCCACCUGGGAUG